AGCAGCCGCGGUAAUUCCAGCUCCAAUAGCGUAUAUUAAAGUUGUUGCAAUUAAAAAGCUCGUAGUUGAACCUUAGGCCCGUGCGGGCGGUCCGUCCUCUGGGCGAGCACUGCCUCGUCGCGGGUCUCACCUUCUGGCGAGCGUGGAUGCCAUUCAUUUGGUGUCUGCGGGAACCAGGACCUUUACCUUGAAAAAAUUAGAGUGCUUAAAGCGGGCUCUUACGCUUGAAUACAUUAGCAUGGAAUAAUGAAAUAGGACGACGGUUCUAUUUUGUUGGUUUCCGGGACGGUCGUAAUGAUUAAUAGGGAUAGUUGGGGGCAUUCGUAUUCAAUUGUCAGAGGUGAAAUUCUUGGAUUUAUUGAAGACGGACUACUGCGAAAGCAUUUGCCAAGGAUGUUUUCAUUAAUCAAGAACGAAAGUUGGGGAUCGAAGACGAUCAGAUACCGUCGUAGUCUCAACUAUAAACUAUGCCGACUGGGAAUCGGGCGAUGUUAUUUUCGUGACUCGCUCGGCGCCCCGA
rnacentral:rRNA from 1 species